UACAGAGGUCCCAAGCGUUGUUCGGAUUCAUUGGGCGUAAAGGGUGCGUAGGCGGCGCGGUAAGUCGGGUGUGAAAUCUCGGAGCUUAACUCCGAAACUGCAUUCGAUACUGCCGUGCUUGAGGACUGGAGAGGAGACUGGAAUUUACGGUGUAGCGGUGAAAUGCGUAGAUAUCGUAAGGAAGACCAGUGGCGAAGGCGGCUCACUGGCCCGGUACUGACGCUGAGGUGCGAAAGCGUGGGGAGCAAACAGG
rnacentral:rRNA from 1 species